rnacentral:misc_RNA from 1 species
GAUGAAGAACGUAGCGAAAUGCGAUAAGUAAUGUGAAUUGCAGAAUUCAGUGAAUCAUCGAGUCUUUGAACGCACAUUGCGCCCGCCAGUAUUCUGGCGGGCAUGCCUGUUCGAGCGUCAUUUCAACCCUCAGGUCCCCCUUUUCGGAGGGGGAGACACCCUGGUGUUGGGGGACGGCAUCCUGGCCCGCUGUCUCACAGUGUGCCACGCCGCCCCCGAAAUGAAUUGGCGGCCUCGUCGCGUGCCACCCCUGCGUAGUAGCACAACCUCGCAACGGGAGCCCGACGCGGCCACUGCCGUAAAACGCCCGACUUUUACCGAGUUGACCUCGAAUCAGGUAGGAAUACCCGCUGAACUUAAGCAUAUCAAUAAGCGGAGGA